rnacentral:pre_miRNA from 1 species
GGGGGGCGAGCGCAGGAUCCUGGGCUGUGUCCCCCGGGCCCUGGGAUCUGGGGCCUGCGCUGCUGGAAUCGCACCCCCGGGGCCACGCAGCCCCCU